CGUUCAUAUUGUGCUGCUUGGUAUAACUGAGUUGGAUUUUGGAUGCGGUGGUCUGUUUUAAGAAAUACAUCAAUAUUGUGUCAGUAUUUCAAAGUGUUGUUAGUGUUGCAUGAUAAUAGAUGUGACAGUCUUUCGGUUGAAGUUGUUCAGGCUGAUUGAUCUGAACAAUUAAAAGAAAGUUGGUUUUAGUUAUGUGAAAGCAACUGAAGUAAAUUUAAACAUGACGAUGUAUUUAUCUGAAUGCGUGCUGUAUUAUAGUAGUCGUCUGAUUUAUGAGUUUGUCUGAAACACUGUGGAGCAUUGUUGUGCAUGAUAAUAUUCUGAGUAUAUAUAAAUGCAAUAAUAUUUUCAGGAUUACUUCUUUGUUCUUAGGUAUUCCUGGCUGCAGACAAAUAAAAGGACUGGGGAUGUUUUUAGGGGGGGAGUUCUGUAUUUGUGGACAAUUGUGUGACACAAUUAACUGCAGAAAGUUCUUUAGGUAGUUAAUGUUUCUUUAAUAAAUUUUGCAGUACAUUUUACAGGAUUGUUUCGAUCUUUUCCGCCAGUCUGAGCAGCUGGUGAACAAAUUAAUUAAACAUGUGUUUAUCAUUUCACAAACCAGAUUUUCUUAAAAUACAUACUCAGCCCAGCUGCUAAUCUCUUUCUGGUUUGUUUCACACAUGCUUUGUGAUUAACAGUGGUGCUAAUAGCGAAUUCAGACUAUUCUACAGAAGAGAUGCAGAUAUUACUCAGUUUAACACUGUUCACAGCUGUUAUUAGGCUCUGAAUGUGUGUUUGGUCACAUGAAGAAAUUGUCCUUCUUUUGUCAACGCAGAUGAUCUCUGAUGCUCACAUUUGUUUAUCUUUUGAAUGAUACAUGUUAGCCCUGAUGAUUGCUAAUCAUCUCUGCGAGACUGGCAAUAUUUAGAUGUAAAUUCAUUGAUGCAAGCAGUGUACGUUUGUGGUCUCAUUCAGGAGCAUGUUUGUGGCAUAAGUCACGUUUUGAUAAUUGGGAGGGCAAAUUUGAUGGCAGCUGUCUCAGCAGAGAAAAUAUGAAUUAUUUGCAUCGUUAAUUACACGUUUCCCUUUUUUAUUUAAUUAUGGCAUGUUUCAUACAUACUAAGUUAAUUUUCUGGCAUUUUUCAAAGAGCUGGAACACGUUUGCUCAAAAGAGAGAAAUGUAUCCACUGGCACUUUCAGCUUUCAGACUGGGUGAGUUUGAGAUCAGUGUUAUAUAUGCAGCCAUCGUGGUGCUAAAAGUGAAGGGGAAUUUAUUGGUAUUGUUCUCACAGUUCAGCCUCGAGGAAGGGCUGUUAAGGGUACUAUUUGUUGCUCUGUACAUUUUAGUGCUUAUGUUGGUAAAUGUUUUUAUAGGCCUAGAGCUAAGCUGUAGUAUUUUGGCAAUAUGAAUCUUCUAUAAUGCAGAAAGAGACUGUUAGACUUUUAAGGGAAGAUUAAAGCAUUAUUCCUAGAACAGUCCUGCUUGAAAAUAGAAAUAGUUGCACUAUUUCCUGCAAGGCAGGAAACAAUACUCUUUUCACAGUACUUUUAGCUUUUAAGAGCUUUGGGAAAAAAACAAAAACAAGAACAUAUUUUUCAAGUCUGGCCAUAUCCUUUUUGAGGACAAGAAGAAGGGAAAGUAAUACGUUAUAAAUAAUCCAUCCUGUAGUGGUGUUGGAUGAAGAUGGAUGAACAACCAGUGGCAAUUCAGUGUUACAGCUCUACUUUCAGGCUGUGAAGAAAAUCUGUGGUGUUACAUGCUAGCAGAAUGCUAAGAAGUGCUUAGAAAUUGGAAAGAAAAAAAAAUGCUAUGUACAAAGCAGCAUAGUAUAUGCAGUAAAUAGCAGAAGAUAUUGCAAGGGUAUAAAAUACAUUACAAACAGUUCUUUAAGCUUCUAUAAUCUCAUUGUAUGGCAAUGAAUCUCAGAACAUUCAAACUGAAUAUGUGUUAGGAGACAGCUUGUAGCUAGAUCUGCAUUAGGAAUGAUAUCUGUGCAACUAAAUUCACGGGAUUGGUGCUGUUUUUACUGCUGCUUUUCAGGACAGGUUUGUUGUGUGGCGCAAAAGAGGAGAUCCUCUCAUUAUUGUUUUACAGAAGUAGGAAAAGCUGACCAGAAAAAGGCUGUCAAAAAAUGCUCUGCUUGUUAAGAGACAAAGCAGCUCAAAACUAUUCCCAAAGUUCUAAAGAAAAUAGUGAAAGCCCUAUUUUUCAUUUUUUUUAACCUUUUCAAAAGUCAUCGUUAAUUGUAGUAUCUAUACAAUAUAUGAACCAAAACCAAAAACUCCGGGAUAGGAGUACGUAAGAGUAGUUUUAUACUGAGAAGGAAUCUCAUUCUUUU
rnacentral:lncRNA from 1 species